rnacentral:rRNA from 1 species
UCGCUCUCCGGACGUGUUCUUGAUUUCUCCUUCCUUGCACGACGACGAGGACUAGGAGGAAGAAGAAGAAAAAGAGCGCCACGGGCGAUCGCUGCUGCUGCUGAAGACGCCGCCACGUAAUUUACACAACCGCCGCCCUCGGCUCGGUCGAGACGACCCGCUGAACUUAAGCAUAUCGCUAAGCGGAGGAAAAGAAACCAACCGGGAUUCCCUUAGUAACGGCGAGUGAACCGGGAGAAGCCCAACGCCGAAUCCCGUCGCAAGUAAAAGGCUUCGGGACGUGUGGCGCAUGGGUCGGAGGUAGCCGCUCGUUUUCGUCUCGCGUAGUUCGGAGUUCCCUCGAUCGGGGCCGCCCGUGGCGGGUGCCAGGCCCAUUCGGUGCGGACGGCGAGCGACAGCCUUCGAUCCGAGAGUCGGGUUGCUUGGGAACGCAGCCCAAAUCGGGUGGUAAGCUCCAUCCAAGGCUAAAUACCGGGACGAGUCCGAUAGUCGACAAGUACCGUGAGGGAAAGUUGAAAAGAACUUUGGAGAGAGAGUUCAAGAGAACGUGAAACCGCCCAGGGGUAAACGGGUGGGACCGCUCACCGCGAUCGCGGGGGGACUCAGUCCGGUGCUGCCGAAGUAGCCCAAACUCGGCUUGUCCGUAAGGCCGUGUCGGUCGUCGUCGGACGUGUCUAUCGUCCGUUAGCUUUUGCGCCCGCGCCGUCGACGGGGAGGUCGGGCCGCGGAGAUAUCGGGUCGUCGUAGUCUCUACGUAGUCUCGUUUCCCUCUUCGCGCGCGCCUCACUAUCCCUUCUUCUCCGCUCGGCAAUCAUGACGCGGGCGCUUCGGCGCGGCGUUUACCGCAUGGCCGGCACCGUACGCACUUCCCCUCCGGUCCGUCGUCGCGACCCGUUUCCGGCGUGCAGGUCGACGCGCGGAGUCUCGUGGGCGGCGGGCGAUCCACAUGCCUCUUUCUCGUUCUCUCUUCUAAGGAGAGGGGGCCGAGUUUGGGGCCGUCCGCCGUCGGGCCCGCGAACGUACUGCCGCCUUCUGCCGGGGACGGAGGAAUUGACGCGAUCCGUUACACGUGGCGAGCCUGUUCGUUUCCUCGCUCUCUUCUCGGAGGGGGCGGAGAUCGAACCCGCCGGUAAUUUCCUGCGCGUGCGUAGGUAGUUCACACUGCCUUCGUUAACCCCACCGUCUCGGGUGCGCGCGGGGAUAGGAGUUUAUAUUACGGCGGGACGAGAACGGGCGCGGCCGCGCCGUUACGCACCCGGUCGUCGCGCUGGUCUUGGCUACGGGGGCAAACCUCGUUCCGCCUGCGCGGCCCGGUCGGGUAGCUCGGCGCCGCUUCUUCUUCUUCUUCCUUUUACUUGUAAAAGGAAGAGGAGGUCGCAGCCGUCCGCCACCUCGGGUCAGCGACGUGCAUCGGCAACCCACCCGACCCGUCUUGAAACACGGACCGAGGAGUCCUGGCCGUUCGCGAGUCGUAGGGGCCCUUUAUUGACGAACCCCGAAGGCGUAGCGAAAGCGAGAGAGCGUGUAGGAGGGCGCCGGUUUUGGAGAGGUGUCGCGGCGAAGCGGUCCGCGGUUCGUCGGUAUUUGCCGUCGCGCCGCUCCGUCGAGCCGUGCCCGAUCCUGCCGGUGCGGCGUCGGGCCUUCCGCCGUCUUCCCGCCGCGAGCUGUUGCCAACUCCUCCGGCUGUUGCUGCUGGCCCCCCUCGGGUUGGUGGUGGUAGUCGUCGGUGAGGGCGACGGCUUCGACGCGGAGGGCGGAUGGUCGCAGCAGGAUGUUUCCGCCGGCCGUUUUCGCGGGGACCGUCCGUCUGGCGCCAGCCUCAUCCUCCUUGCGCCCAUCGGUGAGAUCCCGCGGCUUGAACUGGUCCCAUUUAGUCGGUCCGAGUUUUAGGCGCUGCACGCGGGCGCAUCACCCCCGGGUCGGAUUUUUACCGAGUACGACUCGGCCGACUCUGGCGUAGCGAGCGGCCAGGGACCCGAAAGAUGGCGAUCCACGCCCGGUCGGGAUGAAGCCAGAGGAAACUCUGGUGGAAGUCCGAAGCGCCUCUGACGUGCAAAUCGAUCGUCGGAACCGGGUGUAGGGGCGAAAGACCAAUCGAGCCGUCUAGUAGCUGGUUCCCUCCGAAGUUUCCCUCAGGAUAGCUGGCGUUCGAUGUUUCGCAAUUCCAUCCGGUAAAGCGAACGAUUGGAGGCCCCGGGGCCGUUCACGGCCUCGACCUACUCUCGAACUCGGAACGGGUGGAACGGGCCGACUCUCCCGACGAAUUUCUCGGAGCCGACCCCGCCUCCUCCUAGUCUCUCUGCCCUUUUUUUUUUUUUUCUUAAAAAAAAAAAAGAGGAGACGACGUGGAAGACGAAUGCGAGUGCCAAGUGGGCCACUUUUGGUAAGCAGAACUGGCGCUGUGGGAUGAACCAAACGUCCGGCUAAGGUGCCUAACGCGACGCCCAUGAGAUCCCCGAAAGGGUGUCGGUCGAUAUAGACAGCAGGACGGUGGCCACGG